AUUCAAUAAAUUAAAAAUAAAUAACUAACCAAAAUAACACAAAUCAAUUACACAAAAUAGUGCAAAUUAUAUCCGGAUAUUUAAUUGAAAAUUUGAUUUUCCCUCGCAAGAGAAUCACGAAGAAUUUAAGUUGUGCCUCCUGUCCUCUGAACAUAGUAACGUUUACCGCGUCCAAUGGGCAGCUAUUAGACAAGUCAUACGUUCAAAUUUUGUAUUGUUACUUCAACAUUGGUUUUCAUUAUCGCGAAUCGCCAAUUGUCGAGCGAGGUACAACAUACUUUAUGUUUUGCGAUGUAUUUGUAUCAAUGAUAUCAUUGAUAUUUCAAAAGAUACUUCGAUUUUCCGUGAAAAAGGUGUCAAUCUCUUUUCGCGCGCAAUUGCGCGUCACGUGACCUACGCGAGUAUCACGGGCGCAGGUCAGUUCGCGUCGAGUGAUCCAAGUGUCGCGGCCGAAUCUCAUGAUCGCUCCGCGUUUUUCGCGUUCCGUCUCCGUCCGGAAGCGGAUUCCGCGUGCGGGUGAGUGUUUCGAGUGCGCCGAACGCAUCGACGAGAACGGUCAUGUCGAAAUCGAUGCGCGCGAUCGCGUUUCUUCUCGACGCACACAACAUUCCAAUUACGUCCCCCGCGAUGACCGUUUGCCAUUACUGUCGCCAUGAUACUUUUUGAAUUUUCACAACGGUCGGAAAAUGUUGUGUGUCUGUAAUCGAGAGUGUCGCGAAUCGGUGAAACGGGCGAUCGUUUCGUUAGUCAAUCAUCAGAGAAAUUGGAGUUUUCGCCGAGAAUCGCCGAGGAAGAAUUACCACGACGAAGAAAGUGAGAGAGAGAAAGAGAGAGAGAGGGGGGGGGGGGCGAGGGGAGAUUGCUGCUCUUCGCCUGAGCACUCGGGUUACGCGGUGGUUGUGCGGUACUUGACGAGGCGAUACAUCGGCGAGUACAGCUCGACCAGUGAUUUUCUCUACCGACACAGCGUCACUAUUGAUAACGUUACGACGGAGGUUGAGAUACUUGACACGUCCAGGUGCGAGGAGAAUGGCUGCCUGUACUCGCACAUACGGUGGGGUGAGGCCUUCGUCGUGGUUUACAGCGUGACAUGUAAGCGGAGCUUUCAGGAAGCCCGUGGACUUCUCAAGCAACUCGCGGAUCUACGCCUGCCAUCCUAUUUCACCGCCCUCCUGCUCGGCAACAAGAGAGAUUUGGAUCACGCACGGGAAGUAUGCGUGGACGAAGGCCAACAGCUGUCGCUGGCGCACGGAUGUCAGUUUUACGAAGUAAGCGCCGCGGAGAGUCCCGCAGGAGCGGCGUUAGCCUUUCAGGCGCUUCUGCGGGAGGCGAGGUCGGUCCAGCUCCUGCGAGCGUUGCCGAUCCGCAGGAAACUGGGCGUGCACUCGGUCUCGAGAGUCCUCGGGACGAUCUUCGGCAAGAACACCACCAAGGACCGUAAGAAGAGGCCGUCGUUGAGCAUAUGACGCCUUCUAUGCGCCCUCCUCCUCGGAGGACGAGAUGAGCCAGGCAGGAGAACUGACAUCGUCGUCCUCAGCAGCAACGUCUACUCCAAUCGCUGACGAGGUCCUCGGUAAGGACGUAGAAUCUCUCUUGUGCCUUCCUGAAGAAAGGCCGCCAUCACCGGGAUCGAGAGACUUGCUCUCGAGCGAUCUUGAAAGCAUCCCUUGCCGAGAGAAUGAUCCUUUUCUUCAAGCGUAUUGAAGAAAAACGCAUUUGCUAAUGACAAUCAAACUCCUGAGGUUCUGAAACAUAUUUGGGGACUCAAAACUCCGAGGACGUAAGACUGAUUUUCUGGUUUUGAGGACACGCAGGGUCCAAGGUCUGAUACACCCUGGAAGAUCGACGUGCGAGGUCUAAAGGCUCUCUUUAACAUGUGGUGAGCCGAAAUAUCCGGAUUUCGAGAAGGUUUCAGUCAUGGAGGGCGACAUUCACUUUUGAUAAAAACUACUUUGUGUGCUGAAGAAGAAUAUUUACGUGGUGUUCGUGUGUGACCCUGCUUACAGUGGCGGUAGAGAAGCGAAUCGACGUAGAACUCUCAGAGACUCUUCGUGAUAGGCACGACGCAAAGGAUCCGCCUGUCAGGUCUUCGCCACAGCGGCCGACCGCCGAGAGCCAUCGGUGUUCCGCGAUCGGUGAGUAAAAUGAUCGAUUCUCCAUCCUUCCGCCGAGACGGGGCCGCGUUUAAGCGUGGUAGAAGCAAGCGCGCUCGGAGAACCGCUCGAUCGGAACAGAUUCAACAACGUUUCCGGCACCGAUAUGAAUAUAACAAGUCGCUCGUCACUCGUCCCGGCCGAUCGCCUCGUCCUCGACGGGCGAAAAACUCACGCAGCGGGAUACCUCCUCUCGAUAAUCCCACGGCGGGUAGAUAGGUAUGUGCGAGGCGUUUCGCCCGAUCCCGCGAGUCCUGCACGUUCGAGCGCGCGCGCGAUCGGCACACUUUCGAAGGCGAGUUUUUCACUUCCGCCAUUACGACGGGCACGCCGUCGCCCUCGAAAACAAUGGGCCCAACGGCGUACCUCGAUGUUGUUCCGUACUUCACCCCCCCCCUCCCUCCUCACUGAAUCGAACGGAUGAACGACCGAUCAGCUUUCACUGAUACUUCGAUUCUCCUGCGUCUUAUUCGCCGUAUUAUUAGAGAUAGAGCGCCUUUUUCCGCUUACGGCCGCGGCACAGCGAGCUUCGCCUCACUUUACUCUGGGCUGCAGUUUAGCUCGUUUAAGGCACUACCUCAUUACCAUAUCACUUAUCCUGUCUCGUAACUCACCCCGCAACCAUUUCUUUAUUAUUAUGUCCCGGCAAACGCGUCGUUCUCCUCCGGCGCGGCCGCGACUCUCUUCCUAGUUGAUACCACGCACCACUACUCAACCGCGCCAUUUCAUAAUCCUCGGGUCCUCUCGCGCUCCGGGAAGAGGUGCGCGCUCCCGGAGGGAGUGUAUGCACUCUCGCGACGAUUUCAAUUUCUACGUCUCUCGGCGGAAUACGUUACUUAUAUGUGCGACGAUUACUAUGGCAUUCCCGAGAACGCGCACGGUGUUGGUGAACUCUUCUCAGCGUACACCACGUUUCCCGUGGCUCGCGAGGCACGCACGCAGCGAGUGAACCUUUUGCAUUGGGGUUUAUGGAAACCCCUUUGUGACGGCUUUCGAGAAACUUACUAUAUUCGCGCGCGGAAAAAAUUCGUCUCUCUAAGGAGGACGUUUCAACUUUUCGCACGGUUCAAGCGGGAAGAGAGAAAGGGAAUAAAAACAUUCUCAUAAAUAUUUCCCAGAUUCUAAAGGUGUCUUUAAGCGUACGAUCUCACUGAAAAUGUAGCGCGUCUCUCGUCUCUUGAGAAAUUUCUCGGGUGAGAGCAGGAUUUCGCGAACACAAACACGGAGGUGUUUGAUUUACGGUGAUCGGAUUUGCGCGGCGCUUUUAUCCUUCCGCGCGCAAAAAAUUUACGCCUUCAGACGAGGAGGGGGGGGAGGUAUAUCUGACGACGUGCCGGGAGUCCGAAGAACCGAGGAGGGUUCUCGUUGCGUGCAGGAAGAAAAGAAAAA
rnacentral:misc_RNA from 1 species